AUAUUCCGACAGGGGAGCGCCACAGCGCUGAGAGUGCGGUCACCGUAGGACCGCAGACCCUCUGAACCUUGCCCAGGUCAUUCUGGGUAGGAAGUUCGGUCGUUAACUCAA
rnacentral:ncRNA from 1 species